AGACUAAUUAUCCCUCCUAUCUGUGCAAAUUAAGCUGGGUUAGUACAUAUUGAUGGGCUAAAAGGUUUUUCGUUACCAAGUUUUCAUACAAGAAA